rnacentral:rRNA from 10 species
UUUCCGUAGGUGAACCUGCGGAAGGAUCAUUAA